rnacentral:rRNA from 1 species
UGAGCAAUCUGCCCUUCUCAUCGGAAUAACCCUGGGAAACCGGGACUAAUACCGGAUACGAUUCCCGAUGACAUCAUCGGGAAUGGAAAGCUCCGGCGGUGAAGGAUGAGCUCGCGGCCUAUCAGCUUGUUGGUGGGGUAAUGGCCCACCAAGGCUUCGACGGGUAGCCGGCCUGAGAGGGUGACCGGCCACACUGGGACUGAGACACGGCCCAGACUUUCCCGUACGGGGAGGCAGNAGGUAGGGG